GACGUAGGGCGCGAGCGUUGUCCGGAUUUAUUGGGCGUAAAGAGCGUGUAGGCGGCUUGGUAGGUCCGCUGUGAAAACUCGAGGCUCAACCUCGAGAUGUCGGCGGAAACCACUUGGCUAGAGUCCGGAAGAGGAGAGUGGAAUUCCUGGUGUAGCGGUGAAAUGCGCAGAUAUCAGGAAGAACACCUAUGGCGAAGGCAGCUCUCGUGGGACGGUACUGACGCUGAGACGCGAAAGCGUGGGGAGCGAACAGG
rnacentral:rRNA from 1 species